GAUGAACGCUGGCGGCGUGCCUAAUACACGCAAGUCGAGCGAACGGACGAGAAGCUUGCUUCUCUGAUGUUAGCGGCGGACGGGUGAGUAACACGUGGAUAACCUACCUAUAAGACUGGGAUACUUCGGGAAACCGUAGCUAAUACCGGAUAAUAUUUUGAACCGCAUGGUUCAAAAGUGAAAGACGGUCUUGCUGUCACUUAUAGAUGGAUCCGCGCUGCAUUAGCUAGUUGGUAAGGUAACGGCUUACCAAGGCAACGAUGCAUAGCCGACCUGAGAGGGUGAUCGGCCACACUGGAACUGAGACACGGUCCAGACUCCUACGGGAGGCAGCAGUAGGGAAUCUUCCGCAAUGGGCGAAAGCCUGACGGAGCAACGCCGCGUGAGUGAUGAAGGUCUUCGGAUCGUAAAACUCUGUUAUUAGGGAAGAACAUAUGUGUAAGUAACUGUGCACAUCUUGACGGUACCUAAUCAGAAAGCCACGGCUAACUACGUG
rnacentral:rRNA from 1 species